rnacentral:rRNA from 1 species
ACAUAAGUAACGAUAAAGCGGGUGAAAAGCCCGCUCGCCGGAAGACCAAGGGUUCCUGUCCAACGUUAAUCGGGGCAGGGUGAGUCGACCCCUAAGGCGAGGCCGAAAGGCGUAGUCGAUGGGAAACGGGUUAAUAUUCCCGUACUUGGUGUUACUGCGAAGGGGGGACGGAGAAGGCUAUGUUGGCCGGGCGACGGUUGUCCCGGUUUAAGCGUGUAGGUGUGUGUUCCAGGUAAAUCCGGUUCACUUUAACACUGAGGCGUGACGACGAGGCACUACGGUGCUGAAGCAACAAAUGCCCUGCUUCCAGGAAAAGCCUCUAAGCAUCAGGUAACAUCAAAUCGUACCCCAAACCGACACAGGUGGUCAGGUAGAGAAUACCAAGGCGCUUGAGAGAACUCGGGUGAAGGAACUAGGCAAAAUGGUGCCGUAACUUCGGGAGAAGGCACGCUGACACGUAGGUGAAGUGAUUUACUCAUGGAGCUGAAGUCAGUCGAAGAUACCAGCUGGCUGCAACUGUUUAUUAAAAACACAGCACUGUGCAAACACGAAAGUGGACGUAUACGGUGUGACGCCUGCCCGGUGCCGGAA